UUGUCCCUACGGGACGCAGCAGUGAGGAAUAUUGGUCAAUGGUCGGGAGACUGAACCAGCCAAGCCGCGUGAGGGAUGAAGGUACAGAGUAUCGUAAACCUCUUUUGUCAGGGAACAAAGGCGGGACGUGUCCCCGGAUGAGUGUACCUGAAGAAAAAGCAUCGGCUAACUCCGUGCCAGCAGCCGCGGUAAUACGGAGGAUGCGAGCGUUAUCCGGAUUUAUUGGGUUUAAAGGGUGAGCAGGCGGUCUGUUAAGUCAGCGGUCAAAGCCCGGGGCUCAACACCGGCCCGCCGUUGAAACUGGG
rnacentral:rRNA from 1 species